UGGGGAAUAUUGCGCAAUGGGGGAAACCCUGACGCAGCAACGCCGCGUGAGUGAGGAAGGACUUCGGUCUGUAAAGCUCCUGUUAAUGUGGAAAAAUGGCAUCUGGUCUAAUAGGCCGGAUGUUUGAUGGUACACAUAGAGGAAGCACCGGCUAACUUCGUG
rnacentral:rRNA from 1 species